rnacentral:lncRNA from 1 species
CAUAGAUAUAGGAAGAUGUGGUGUGAGUGCCAAUGAGACAACUCUCCAUCCAAAUAACAAUUUUUUUUAAAAUAAACCAUUAUAGGUCAAUGUACGGCCUUCAACACAGAGCCUUGGCUCACACCGAACAACAAGCUAUAAAGGGCCCCAAAAUUACUAGUGUAAAACCAUUCAAACGGGAAAACCAACAGUCUAAUCUAUAUAAAA